rnacentral:lncRNA from 1 species
GAUAUUGAAUUUGAAGAGGAAUAUUCGUAGAGUCCGUUUCCUAUUCUGAUAUAGAAAAGGCCCUUUCAUUAGCCCCAUUGCCAAAUGCCAACGAACCGAAGGAAUGUUAAUACAGAUCGAAAUUAAUGUGCGGCCAGCGGUGCAUUCCGUGGAAGCCCACCACCCCUUAACCAAACCCACAUGAAUUCAGGUAUAACGAGAGAAGCAAAAUAGCAAAAUCCCUCGUGCAUCUUUUGAAAAGUUGUCUCCCACUAAUGUUGCACGAGAAAGUAGAAAAAUGCCCAAAACGAAUUUGAAAACUGAUCUUGUCAAACGGAGACGCCCCGCCGAUCCCGCGACCACCGAGAGACGGUGGCAUGCCCGGGGACCAUCCCCCCUCUCUCUCUUUCGCGCGCACGCAUCUCAAUCCAUGUGGUUCUCCAAUCUGAAAUUGGAGGGUGGACGGCCGUAAUCUCGAGGUACCUGCCCUCCUGAGGCGAUAAUUACAUGGUGGUGAUGGCUGCUUCGCGAUCUCUGCCUCGCACCCGUAGAGGCGGCUCUCAAAUUUGAUGAUCGACCUAAACCCAACCGCAUAAGGUGGCGAUAUGACAUUAUCACUCCUUGUUAUCCUCCGUCGGCCUUAAUGAGAUGAUGGGAAGGGGAAGUGAAUGAAGAUGUGCACCGCGGAAGACGAGAUGCCCCCAUCACAUCUGACAAAGAUGUUACGAUCAUAGGUUGCUAUCAAAAGUAAAAGAAAACUCAAUAGAAUAUGAUACAUGUCGACAAUGUCACCCGUCCACACGAAACUGCGAGGACCACUGCACCAAACGCUGUCAACCACCGAGAACUGAUGGCGUCCUUAAUGUUUUUAUUACCACGAACGGCUUCGCAUGCUUUCUUCGAGCUUCUUCGGACUCUACUCUCAUAUCUUCCUUCCCUUACAACAGCUACAAAUUGCGGUUUCUUCAGACAUGGGGAUUUGUAGAGACCCUUGUCCGGAAAUGCAAAAAAGCCCGUUUGGACAUGCGAUGCUAAACAAUCCAUGUUUUACGCAAAAGGUGUCCUUUUCUUUCUAAUAAUUUAUGUCGAGAACUCUCCAUAUCCUUCAUGCAGCUUAAGAGUUACGUUAAGGGAAUGAUUAGAGAAAACGUUGAGUGGGGGAUCCUUAAACAUUCAAGUACCUCUUGAAAUCUCGUUUUUAGUGAUGAAGUGGGGGGAUUAGUGGGGGUAAGUUCAUUUCGAAACAAUAGAUACGACGUCGCCUAAUAUAAAGGUGGAAUUUUUCUACCAAAAUAAAUAACUAAAUAAAUAUUAUAUAUAUAAAGAGAGAGAGGUGGAAUAUAUCUGCAUUAAAUUAAUCAAAGAUGCAACUUCUUUGAGCCUCUCAACUAAUGCCUGACAGUUCUCCCUCCCAUCCCAUAAUUGAAUCACAUCCAAUUGGCAAAAACCAUUCUUGAAAAAGAAUCAGUGUCUUAUGACACGGGCUGUCGAGAAAGCGCCAAAGAGAUAAAGUAAAAUAGAUAUAAUUUCAUUAAAAAAUUUAAAAGAUGAAAAAAGAAGGUCGCCGGUUCGCAUUCCCAGUUGCUGCAACCAAUUAUCAGGCACGAAUUUUCAAUUCCUCGGAACCAAUAAUUAAGCGUGAACGAUAAUUGACAGAUAAUAGCACGAAUUCAAAACAAAAGAACGUUAAGGAAAGAGCAAUCAUAGCGGCAGAUGCUACUGCAAUUUAAACUAAGGAUAAAAGCCAUUAAAAAUCCCAAACUCUACUCAAUAUGAUAUAUAUUCAUCUUAAAUUUUGUUUUGUGACACAAAAAUUCCAAACUUGCGCACUUGUAAAAGUUCUGUCAGGAAGAAUUAUUAAAAUCUCCCUAUUUGGACCUCGAGAAGAAGUGAAAAAAAAAUUAUUUGAAAUUUUUUUAGCAGAUGUUAAAUUCCAAAAAAAAAAAAAAAGUAUGUUAAAUAAAUAUUAAGUUUAGGAUUUUUUAUGUUACGAAAGAAAAUUAGGGUAAAUGUAUCGAGCAUAACUUAUGAUUUUUCGAUGCCUAUAUAGAUAAAUAUGUUACCGUGUACAUAAUUUGGAUUUUUUUUUGACUUUAUCAUAUUAAUUUAUCCUAAAGCACUCCAAUAAUUGAAAACUAAACCGUAGGUAUUAAAAAAAACAAAGAGAAAAAGAAAUAAAGCGAAACCAAACCUGACACAAGGGAGGGCGAACUGUGCCAGCGAGCGCCGUCCCCCACAGUCCCCACCUCCUUCCUCUUCCUCUUCCUCUUCCCUUUCCAACCCUCUCUGACACAGCGACGAAAAGGGGAUCUCUCUCUCUCUCUCUAUUAUCUC